rnacentral:rRNA from 1 species
GAUGAACGCUGGCGGCGUGCCUAAUACAUGCAAGUAGAACGCUGAAGGAAGGAGCUUGCUCUUUCCGGAUGAGUUGCGAACGGGUGAGUAACGCGUAGGUAACCUGCCUGGUAGCGGGGGAUAACUAUUGGAAACGAUAGCUAAUACCGCAUAACAGUAGAUGUUGCAUGAUAUCUACUUAAAAGGUGCAAUUGCACCACUACCAGAUGGACCUGCGUUGUAUUAGCUAGUUGGUGAGGUAACGGCUCACCAAGGCGACGAUACAUAGCCGACCUGAGAGGGUGGUCGGCCACACUGGGACUGAGACACGGCCCAGACUUCUACGGGAGGCAGCAGUAGGGAAUCUUCGGCAAUGGACGGAAGUCUGACCGAGCAACGCCGCGUGAGUGAAGAAGGUUUUCGAAUCGUAAAGCUCUGUUGUAAGAGAAGAACGAGUGUGAGAGUGGAAAGUUCACACUGUGACGGUAUCUUACCAGAAAGAGACGGCUAACUACGUG